UGAAUACCUGUCAGGGCAAUUUUGGCAUAUCUUUGUGGGUAACUUUUGCCUGUCAAGAAGGCCUGUUGCUUCGAUUAAGUACAAGAUGUGAAAGAAGAGGAAGUUUUAUUUAGGUGAGUAUUCCUGUCAUUGAACGGCUUGCUGGACAAAGUCAUGUCAAUGGUAGUUUAGUACUUAAUAACGGAACAAAAAAGAAAUUAAAAAAAAAAACACAACACUGAUGUUUGUUUUAAGAAAUAGCCGUGGUCUCGCUCUGGGCUGAGAAGGGUAUUUCCAGAGUUUGCUGUGUAGCCCACCUAUAGGCACCAGUAGAUGUUCAUGGGGCAGUAAUCAUUGCUCAGCAUGUUGACCUCAUGCUUGCUUUGGGGCAGGAAAAGUUGCUUCCUGGAACUGCAUCCCAUCAUCUGGCAAAACUGCUGCACACUUCAGAUCCUUAAGGUGAAAUGUCAACUCUUUUCAUGUAAAGUUGUAUUGUACAUCACAGUAUCAGGGGUUAGAAGGAACCUCUGGUGCUCACCUAGUCCAACCCCCACUACAGGUAGGCAUCCUGGUGGAUAUUGAGCAUCUCCAGAGAAGGAGAAUCCACAGCCUCUCUGGGUAUAUGUGAGAACUAUUGAUAGCCAGGUGUGAGCUCUGACAGGCAGUGCUUGUGUGGUGCAGGCCCAGCUCAUUUCUCACCUAACUGAAGUGCCCACUGAAUUAUCUGUGUUUCUCUUUCUUUCCUUUGCCAUGACUGAUAGCAUCAUCUGGGGAGAACUCCCCGAUUGCUGAUGAUUAUGAAACCAUAGCUGACCAAACACAGCUGGAUGCAGUGGAGGGUGUGAGCCUGGCCUCUGAGGAGCUGAGAUUGGGCGACCACCUGCCAGGGGAAGAGGCCACAGCUGUGACUCCCGCCUUGGAACCAAAGAUUGACUUGGUCCCUGAGAGAGAGGAGCCGGAGGGUACUGAGCCGCCACGUGUAGCACCGGAGCAGAGCUCAGAGCUGCCAUCUGUGUGGCGAGAGGAAAGCAGUGGGACUCCACCGCCAGCACUGAGGGACAGUGGUGGGCCACCAGCUCCACAACCAGCAGAUGACAGCGGGCUGGUGGAAGGCACUGACAGCUUUGUGGUGGAAACCAUCAAGAAAGUGCAUAUUGCUGAAGAGGACCACUUCAUUGAGGGUGAGACGGGAGAACAGGUGGAAACUGAGCUGCUCAGUCAGAUAGUAAGUGGAGGGCCUGAAACAAAAGAAGAGGAAACAGGAGAAGCUGUGGAUGGCGCAGCAGCGACAGAGAUAGAGACAACUAGUAACAAAGACUAGAAGCUACAUCUGUAUGAACAUCCUCUUCUUGGGCCAGCCCCUCUGACCACAUGAAAGUUUUUUAAUUUUGCUGCAUUGGAAAAAUAGAGCUUUUAUAGAUGGAGCCAUGAACCAGAAUAAGAAGCAUCAAAGGAGGUUUCAUAUAUGUUUUUGAAGUCAAGCUGCCAAGACUUCAAGUGUUUGAAAUACCUGACCUGGUACCUCCCUGCCACAGAGUGCCUUCCGUACAUCGCCAGCACAGCGGGAUGAUUCUGACAGAUGUAUAACCAUCCAGUUUUCAGUUAGGAGUCUUUCCAGGUUCUAACUUCAAACCUCUGAAACCUUCAGCAUUACAUAGGAUAAAGAAUAUAGUGUAGAUUGGUUUUAGUUUUAUUUUAAUGGUGGCACAAGCAAAAAGUCAGAAAUGGAGGUCCUGCUUCUGAGAACUUCUGCAUGUGCAGGUAGUCCCUCUGAGUGCCUGCACAACCAGGUUGUGGAGCUGCUGCAGUGAGCUGCACUCAGAGGAUUGGAACCCUCACUGCCUAUUUGCGGGGUGUAACUAAGUGCAAAGGUUAGUUUUUCAGUCAGUGAAAGAUACACAAGUUGCAACGUACAGUAACCAAGUAGGUGCCUUCUGCUAACUGCUAACUCCAUUUUUAAGCAUAUUUACAAAAAGGAGGAAAAAAGGGCAUUUUUAACCUGGAGGAGAAUGUCAGAGACUUCUAAAGUCUGGCAUACUUAAAAUACAAAUUCACAGUUGUUAGCACGCAUGGUGAUCAAUAGGGCAUCUUUAGCUAUGUAGCUCCUUACUCAUGGCUUCUAAAAUAGAUACCUAACCAGUGACUUAUAUAAGCCUGUUCCCAUAGGAGAGGUCAUUGUUCCAUCCCCCGUUUCUCCAGGAGAAACAUGCAUUCAGGAAUGGUGUUAUGUUCCAGAAUACUAAGGAAGUAUUUCGGAUCUGAAGCUGAAUGACAAAACCUUCAAACAAAAUUUAUGUUGAAAAGAGGCCCCAAAUAUAAUCGGUGUUAUGGAUCUGAUAGAGUAGAACUUUCAUCUGAUGGUGAGUGAUGCAAAGGGACUCUGUAUUUUUAUUGUAGACUGUUUGGGAGACCCUCUGGCAUAAGGAAGUAGAACAUGGAGGAAAGGUCAAGCAUCUCAGAAGGGCAAAUGUUGCUAUUUUUGUUAGCUUUACUGUACAAAAGGCUGAUACUCCUUAGCUGUAUCGCUGCACUUACGGUUUUCUGCCCGUCAGCAAUCUUUUCAGACUGGGCUGGGUUCCUCCUGUAUGCUGGGGAUUUGGUUUGGCUACCAGACCUGAGCUGGCACCACCCAAAUGUAGGGAGUCUGCUGUGCUGACUGCUUGCAAGUUACAUGUUAGAUCCAGAGAUGCAGUUUGACUCGAUAUAUUGAAAGAUUUAAAAGCAGAACUGAUGGCAUUUCCAUAAAGACCAGUAGCAUUAACAGCACCAGCAGAGACAGCAUUUGGAAAUAAAAUAGGAAGGUACAAGAGAGUCAAAGUAAACUGUUCACCUCAGAAUCACUCUCACUGCCACCGUUGUUACAAGGAAGACAGGUGACAAUAUACACUCUUACCUCCUUAUUCAGUUUUUUCAAUCAUUAGAAGCAAUGCUAAUUGGAAACAAGAGGAAGGUUACCCAAUCACUGACUCGGCAGGUCAGCCCUUCUCUGUAUCUUCAGUCUUUAAUAUCUUGUAAUUACAAUAUAUGAAAGCUAUGUUACCUUUUCCUUCCCAAAAAGUGAAAUAUGCUUGGCACUGUGCUAAACAUGAAAUGUUAAUUGUAUUAAUUACAAAAUCAGAAUUCAGAUGCUAGACUUAUGCUGAACAUCCCUUCUUUGAGAAAUAAGACAAUCAGUAUCCCACUGAGGCCUUGUAUUUAUGGUCCCUAACCUACUAAAACGUGUACCGUGCAUAAAGGGCCAAAAUACAUGCAGUUAUUUGCUUCUGCAAACCUCUGGACAUCACAGAGAUUGCCAAGGGCAGAAACUGGUCUGUGGAUUAAACAGCUUUCUCAGCUUAAAUGCUGAGAAGAGGAUACGCUCUGGUACCUGUUUACAAGAUAUACCUGCAGAGCUAGCACAGUGUACCUUAGCAUUUUAUUUUAAAUAUCACCAAAAUAAAAAUGCAUAAAUGUGUAUCAAAAGCUAGACAAUCUUAAAUCUCAAACUUCAUCCAAGCUAGCACUUAUCGUUCCGUGCUACAGUAAGUGUUGAAUAGAAUCACAGAAUGGCCUGUGUUGAAAAGGACCUCAAAGACCACCUAGUUUCAACCCCCUG